rfam:TPA: Aspergillus nidulans FGSC A4 chromosome VIII
CUCCUGUGCUUGUUGAGGGCAGAUAAAAUGGAUGUGCGUGUCGAAGCCUCCUGCAGUCACGAUCUUGUUUUCUCCCGCAAUGACAUCCGUUGACGAGCCGAUGAUCAUGUCCGGAUGGACGCCAUCCAUAACGUCUGGGUUUCCUGACUUGCCAAUCCCGACAAUGGUGCCGUUUUUUAUACCAAUGUCUGCCUUGUAGAUACCGGACCAGUCUAUGAUGACAGCGUUUGUGAUGACCGUAUCCAGACAGUCCUUGUGGGACUUCCCUGAUGCCUGGCCCAUGCCUUCGCGGAU